UAAGAGCAGCUGCCCAGUGUUGGGCGGCUUUGAGUACCUUUCAGCACCUGCGGGUUGGAGGGAACGCUGCUUGCAGCUUUCUGUCGGCACGUCUCCGUCCGUCCUUACCCGCGUUAUCCUAAACCCGGUCGCCGACAGCAACCUUCCUCCGCGAGCCCGCGUCUGAGGCACUGCCGGAGGCUAGAGGCGGCCCGCCGGGUUCCUGUCUGGCCCUCGACCCCAGCGCCCGCGGAGCCCGCCGCCCGCGGCCUCAGCGGGACGAUGCUGGAGUCCAUUCGCGUGACGGAAAAGCUUCACUGGCCUGAGCAAGAACUUGCUAAGAAGUCUAUUCUAAAUGCAGAAGAGUCCUUGAUUAUUGGCAGCAAAGGAAGCAUUUCACAUUUAUCUCCUGGAAUACUAAAGGACAUUUUCACAACUGGAACCAGUAGUUACAAUGUCCUACUACAGAGCAAAGAGGAGAAAAAGCAUCAUUCACAAAAACAGUCUUCCUCCACCUACUCCAAAAGAUGUAGAAAACCCAGCAAAUCUAGCUCUUCACGUAGUAAAGAUCUUCGCAAGAUGAAAGCCCCAGUGCCUGUGAUGAGCAGUGAUACUUGGUACUGCCUAGAAAGGCAGCCUGCUGUUUUUGUCACUAGUUCAGUGUCAAGUCCUGUAAAGUUUACACAUGAUAUCUCUGUUACAGGAAACAGCACAGUACUGCCACCUAAACCCAAAAAUGAAAGAAAGGUCAAGCGACGCCACUUCUCCACUCUUCCAAAGCCAAAGGUGCAGCCUCAGCUGUCUAGAAGUUUUGAAAAAGGAGAUGACUUUUCUGGAAAGAAAUUUUGUAUACUGAGUGCUAUAAAGCCCACCAACUUGGAGAAAGAAAAAGUGAGAUUCUUUAAGUCUGACUAUACCUACAAUCCUCAGUUUGAAUAUGCUAAUCCUUCUCUGCCAAGUGUGUUAGCCAAGCACAGCAACGCAACUGACCGGUUUCUUAAGCAGUCCAUCAAUAUUAUGGAACUGACUUUACAAAAGUAUGGAAGCUAUGAAAAAUUUGAACAGGCCACCGGUGGUAGCCUGCUAUCUAAAACUCGAAUCUGGAGUCAUGUUAGGAAAUACAUGAUGAAAGAAGGCUGCAUGGGUGAGAUUGUAGUUCACCUCACUGAGGACCUGCUUUCCCGAGCUUCCAUGACAGUAGUAAAUGGAUGUCCAACACUGACCAUCAAUGUUUGCACUGCACGUGAGCAUUGGCUGGAAGGAAUGCUGAGGCAUGAAAUAGGCACACAUUAUUUUCGAGGUAUUAACAACCUUCAACAGCCAUGGAACAGUUGGACUGGCCGUAAAAAACAUGACCUAAAGCCAAACAAUCCCACAGAGGAAGGACUGGCAAGUAUUCACAGUGUCCUGUUUAGAAAAGACCCCUUUUUAUGGAGGGCUGCCCUCCUCUACUACACUGUUUAUCGAGCCAGCCACAUGUCUUUUUGUGCAUUAUUCAAAGACAUUGGAAAGUUUGUCAAGGACCCCAAUACAAGAUGGGAUUAUUGUGUACGAGCCAAGAGGGGAUGGACUGAUACCUCCCAACCAGGUGCGGACUCAGCGGGGGCCAUGCACACUCACUCUGGCUGGGGCUCACGAUCCCCUCUCUCCGUUUGGCUCCUGCAGGAGCCGGGUUCGGCUGCGGUGAGCACAGUGCAAGUGGGCGGCUCCGCGCCUGGCUCACUGGCUGCGGGACUGGGGUGUUUCAGUAAAGACCAGGUAUACUUGGAUGGUAUCCUGCAAAUCCUCCGAUAUAGAGAGACCAUUGACUUUCAUCUACUUACGGCCCUGGGGAAGGUCUCUUAUGAAGAUGUGGAUCGCUUAAAAGGAUUGGCAGUUACUGAAAACAUGAGGGUCCCUCACUUUCUGCAGGACCAUGGCCGAUAUAUGGAACACUUAGAGAAGAUCAUGGAAGUGAAUGAACUGACUGACAGGGAACUGAAAGAUCUUAUAUAUUAAUUAGCAUUCUUGCAAACAUAGCUAAGCUAUACCUCUAUGUAUAUUACCAAUUAGGUGCAGUUAGCACCAGCAGAUUUAUAAAAGAAGAAUGACUGUUUACAUGAGUUUUCUGAAGAAUGGUCUGCAGUAUUCAGCUGAAUAUUUAGGUUAAGAACAAAUUUUAAACUGUUUCCCUAAAAUGUUUCUAUAGGCUACAGGGGAAAGUUACUCCUGUUUUCAUCUGAAUCUCAACAGAGUCAGAUGAAAAUACUGCUGAUGGGUGUUUUUGAGGAAUCUUGGUCAAAUUGAGUGAUAAACUUCUGCCUGAGAACCAAGACCAGCUCUUACUAGAGAUGGAAUUCCUGUGUUGUUCAAACUUCAAGAACCAACUGAGGAGCAGAAUCUGUGCUGAGUGUCAGAGGUCCUCUGAUGAAGACAAGAAAUGUUCCACAGUCCAGUGAGGAAGAGUGGCACACACCCAGGUUACAGCACUGCCAGUACCAUACCCAAAAAGUGUUACCAAAAGAAUGUAAACCAUAGUAAAUGGGCCUGUUCAUGUGUUUGAAGCACACAGACAAAGAUCACUUGCAAAGUAGUGAGUAUUUACAGUAUUUUAUUACCACUCUUUGCGAGGCUUGUUUGGAACCUGAGCAACUUAGCCUAGGGGAAGGAGUAGACCAAGAAUACAGUUGCUUGGGUCAUCACAGGCCCUGAGGAGCUCCUUUGAGCCCUUCAGCAGAUGCGCAAGGGAGUCAGCACUUUAUCCUUAAGUGUCUUGGUCUUUGAAUUCAAACCUUUAUGACACUUGUGAAAACCUUGUCAGCUGGCUAUGAUUUCAUUCAUUUUUGUUCACUCUGAUUCUAGUGGCUAAAGGAAUUAAUAGCUUGAAACUGCCAGGAUGAGAAAUACCAGUGUUUGUUAGCUAGCUUUAAGAAUAUGUGGAAUUUCAAGUAUGCAGAGGGAAAAGCACAUGAAGAGGAAGCAAGAGGGCAGCCAUCUGCAAGCCAAGGAGAGAGGCCCCAAACAGAUCCUUCCCUUAUGGUUCUCAGGAAAAAUCAAGCUUUCCAACACCUUGAUCUUGAACUUCUAGCCUUCAGAACUGAAAAGAAUUGUACCUAAAAGAGGACGAAGCAAAGAGCAGAAAUCUGACCACUAAGAGAUUACUGAGCAUUCAUUUCUUCCCAGCUAUCCAAUUAUCCUAACAAAAGAUGACCAGCUUCAGAAGUGACAUCAGCAUGGCUGAAAAAGCUUCCCCUCAUUUGUGUCCUCUACCCACAGCAAUUUGGUAUCCAUAUACAGACAGAAAUGACCUGGUGGGAGCUUAGGGAUCCAACACCAAGCAACUUUGUAGGAAUCACCAGGCAACCUGGUAGGAAUCUUUCCUGCCCAUGCAUUGGCUUAUAGGCAUACAGACCUAGGUCCUGGCAUGGACCCUGCAGUGGCCUGUGAACCAGCUCCAGGCCCUCUCAGCUGCAGUGUGGAGACCCUUGGAAAGUAUUAUCUUAGGCAAUCACCCACAGACAAGAGCACCUUUGUGAAAGUCUGGGUUUCCAGUGGAGAAUUUUCAGCACAUUUUUGGAGCAAUAAAUGAGUUUAGAUGCUUUGAAGAGGAACAGUUUGAUUUUAUCCUCAUUAUCCUUCCCUCAAGGUGGCACAGUUCAGGGCCAAGAGAGACCUUCUCAGCCCGUGAUUUCUCCUGGAGGGGAAAAUGCAAGUGACUGAGUACCCAGCUUCUCCAACUAUGUGGGAAGCCACCAGAGAGGCCCAUUUCUCUCUUGCCUCAUCCAGACUACUGAAUCUUGAGCUGCAUGAUGAGGGGGUGGGAAGGUGCUAGGAGAAUAGCAGAUAGGACUCUUGGAGGGCAUUAAAGAGUCACAGAGCCUACUAACUCACAGUCCCAUCAAGAAGCUAGCCCACAUGGCACUGGGGACACCUUACCUGUGGGUCUCCCUGACCAGCCCAUGGGAACCAGUAGUGCUCCAUGUGCCUCACCCACACACAUCCCCCACCCUGUGGCUUCCUGUCUCACUCCUGGUAGCAUCAAGAGCAAGCUUUGGCAGACGGCUAGUGAACAUGCAAAAAAAGCCAAACUGAAUCUGCAGGCCCAAGGGAGACCACAAAUGUGAGCUUUAGCCCCACACUUGGGAAAGCAGAAGGGAGAUCGUCAGCACCUAACCUUUUGCAUUGCAGACUCAAGAGAAGAUAUACAAGCUUAAGGAUUCUGCCAUAAGAGGCCAAGAAGUGUGGAGCAGGCUUACCCAUAGCUGAUCUGAGGAAGCCUCAGAAUCUCUAGCAGGGAUGACUGAAGUUACAUCUCUGCUGAAGCAGUUAGUAAAGACUAGAGGAAGCAACUGCUAUUUCAGAUACAAAGACAACAAAGCAAAACUUAAGAAAACAUGACACUACCAAAGGAUUAUGAUAAUCUUCCAGUAAUUGAUUCCAAAGACAUGGAGAUCUGUGAUUUACCUGAUAAAGAAUGAAAAAUAACUGUUUAAGGAAGCUCAGUGAACUACAAGAAUAGACAAUUUGAUGAAAUCAAGAAAAUACGUGAAUAAAAUGAGCAGUUUAACAAAGAAAAAUCAUAAAGGACCAAACAGAAAUUCUGAAGUAGAAAAAUACAGUGAAUGAAAUGAAAAAUAUAGUAGCAUCAAUAUCAGAAUGUGUCAAUCAGAAGAAAGAAUCUGUGAGGUAGAAGAUGGGAGCUUUGAGAUUAUUCAAUCAGAGGAAAACAAUGAAAAAGGAUAAUGAAAGCCUAUGUGAUCUAUGGGAUACAAUCAACAGAAACAACUUGCAAAUUAUUAGAGUUUCAGAGGGAGAAGGGGGCAGACAGCUUAUUAAAGAAAUAAUGGCUGAGAACUUCCCAAAUCUGAGGGAAAAUUUGGAUAUCCAAGUUCUUAAGGUCACCAAACUCAAAGAGAUCCUCUUCAAGACAUGCUAUAAUAAAACUAUAAAAGACAAAGAGAAUCUUAAAAGCAGCAAGAGAAAAGUUUGUAACUUAAAAGGAACCCUCCAUACUGUUAUUAGCAGAUUUCUCAGUGAAAACCUUACAGGCCAGGAGGCAGUGGGGUGAUAUAUUCAAAGUGCUGAGAGAAAACUGCCAACCAAGAAUACUCUGGCAAAGUUUUCCAUCAGAAAUGAAGGAGAGAGAAAGACUUGCCCACACAGACUAAAGCUGAGAGAGUUCAUUACCACUAGAUCUGCCUUCCAAGAGGUGCUUCCAAGCACAAUCUCAAAAGGAUGUUUUUGAUAAGUUGAUUUUAGAGCUCUAUUAGGAAAUACAUGAAAAUGUUAAAAGCAUAUAUAUCCUUAACCCAACAAUUUCAAAGUAAGUACACACACACUAUCACACACUUAUUCAUCAUAUAUACAUUGCACACAUAUGCAAAAAUAUAUGUACACAUAUAUCUUUGUGCAAAGAUAUGUAUCUUUGCACUGCAACAUUGUGGUAAAAAUAGAGUGGAAGCAACCUUAAAAUUCAUUAGCAAGGAACUAGUUAGAUGACAUAUUUAUAUGUUAAAACUAUAUAGCCUAUUUAAAAAUAAAGUAGGCCUGUACAUAUUGAUUUAGAUUCUACAUCAUUGUAGAACAAUCUCCAAAAUCUAUUGUUAAGUAAAAAGCAUGUUUCAGAAUGGUGUUUGAAGUCAGUUUCUAUUUGAUUUUUUAAAAGGGUGGGGGGAUGGUAUGUGUAUGUACAUGUACACUUGUAUAGUCACAGAACAUCUCUGGUAGGCUACAUGAGAUACAGGUAAGAGUGGUGACAUUGAAGGACUAGGAGUCAGGAGUAAGAAACUCACUUUUACUCCAUACUAUUUUUAUUUGACUUUACUAUAUGCACAUAUGGUCUUUAAAUCUUUCUUGCAUUUUUGAGUUCAUGUUUAUUGUUUUAUUCAGUGUGUUA